CCGGCGUCUAAGGCAGAGCCUUCCUAAACCUUACUGACGAGUCCAAUAGGCUCAGGACGAAACGCUUC
rnacentral:hammerhead_ribozyme from 13 species